GGUAACCUAAAGUUGCUUUUCCUGUCCUCUCUGGCAUGUGAAGGUUGCAAUGGUUUUAUAAAUGUCCCGUAAUUGUUGGAAUGUGACGGUGUGAGCCCAAUCCGCAUUAGAUCUGGAGCAUGCGGGUAAUCAACUUAGGUCUGACUAUCCUUAAAGACUCAGUUUAAGGGGUGCCUGGUGGAUCAGUGGGUUAAGCGUCCAACUCUUGAUUUCAGCUCAGCUCAUGAUCUCACAGUUUAUGGGAUCAAGCCCUACAGCAGGCUCUGUGCUCGUAGCAGUGAGCCUGCUUGGGAUUCUCUCUCUUCCUCUCUCUUUCUCUGCCCUCCCCUGCUUGUGUUCUCUCUCUCUCACAAAAUAAGUAAAUAAACAUUAAAAAAAGAAAAGACUCAGGUUAAUUACUGCAUCACAUGGUGCCAUUUGUUUUUAUUUUUGUACAAUCUUUUCAAACAGACUUUUUCAAGAAGAAGAUGAUUUUUCUUCAAACAAGGAGCUCUCUGGGUCCAAAUUAUCUGGGAAAAGCUAGCGUCUGGCAUUACCUUAUCUACUGUAGAAUUUAGAGAUCUAUGAUUUUAAUCUGUAUAUGGAUGUAAAAUUUUGCCACAUAUAAUUUACAUAGAUCAGUGCUGUUCACUGCCAUAUGCAAGAGACACCAGCCAUAUGUGGCUAUUUAAAUUAAAAUUUAAAAAAUUAAAUAAAGUUAAAAAUUUUCAGUCACACUAGCCACAUUGUGAAUGCUCAGUAGCCACUUGGGAUGCAUAACUACUGUAUUAUACACACAAAUCUAGAACAUUUCCAUCACCAAAGAAAGUUCUAUUGAACAACACUAAUAAAGAUAGUAAUAUAAACAUCCUCCUGUAACUUACUUCCUAAUUGAUAUCUGGUAGUAAUUGCUGUAUGUGUUCCUUACUUUUCAUUAAAUCAAUAUGUGGGCUUAAAAAAGGUGGUAGUAGGGCACCUGGGUAGCUCAGUUGGUUGAGCGUCUGACUUCACUCGGAUCAUGAUCUCACAGUUUGUGAGUUCAAGCCCCGAGCUGGGCUCUGUGCUGACAGCUCAGAGCCCGGAACCUGUUUCAGAUUCUGUGCCUCCUUCCCCUUGCCCCUCCCCCUGCUCGCACUCUGUCUCUCUCAAAAAUAAAUAAACAUUAAAGAAAAUUGCGUGUCAAUAAAUGAAUAAAUAAAAAGUAAAAAAGAUGAUAGUUGUUUUUUCCCUUUUAAAAUUCCUAUAAAAAUCAAUAACUGAUUUUUAAUGCUCAGAUUAUCUUCAUAAAAUCCACUAUUUAUAUUAUCAUAUCAUUUGCGCCCCUAACAUUCAACUUUAAAAAAUACCCUGGGGUCUGUCAGAUUCAACAAUAGUGAAGCCCCAAAUCCAGAGACCUGUUAUUAGAAAUAUUAUACCAGAGGCUUAUCAACAUAAGCUUUCCCAAAGAUUAGAACCAUUCGAUGAACUUGUACAAUUUUGAACGGAACAGUUUUUCAUAGCCCAAGAUUGAGGCAAGAAAGGCUCUGUAAAGCAUUUGGGGACAGGGGCAGGUCACUAUAAUAAUCGUUAAGGCAGUUUCAUUUUGUUGUUUUUAGUUUAUAAAAUACACAUACAUAAUAAUUUGGCAAAUGCAAAAAUAAAAGUGGAAAGAAGAAAAAAAUUAUACCACCCAAAGACAACGUCUCUUAAUAAUUUGACAUCUUUCCUUUUGUGCCUGAGAUAGCAGUAAUACAUCAGGAUCCCAUUACA